rnacentral:rRNA from 1 species
UACCAGCACCCCGAGUGGUCGGGACGUUUAUUGGGCCUAAAGCAUCCGUAGCCGGUUCUACAAGUCUUCCGUUAAAUCCACCUGCUUAACAGAUGGGCUGCGGAAGAUACUAUGGAGCUAGGAGGCGGGAGAGGCAAGCGGUACUUAGUGGGUAGGGGUAAAAUCCGUUGAUCCAUUGAAGACCACCAGUGGCGAAGGCGGCUUGCCAGAACGCACUCGACGGUGAGGGAUGAAAGCUGGGGGAGCAAACCGG